AUAUCUUUUUUACAUCUUUUUGCAAAUUUUAAAACAACUGCGAUAGGGGCCUCAGAGCCACUUUGAACGUUAAUUUGACUAAUACAGAUUUCCAGUGACACAUACUGAGUGUCCACUAACAAGCUUUAUACUGUUUGUAUUUUUAGGGCUGUAUACCAAUCAAAUGGACUGCACCCGAGAUUCUGUCAGGAAAUGUUGCCGAGCUCUCACCCCAAAGUGAUGUGUGGUCUUAUGGAAUUGUCUUGUAUGAGAUAUUCACUAUCGGAGGAAUUCCAUACCCAGGAUGGUCAGAAGGCAGAGUGGUUCAAGCAGUCCUGGAUGGAUAUCAAAUGCCAAAGCCUGACCACAUUGACGACCAGUUGUAAGUAUAUUUACCAUUAUUUACGUUUUUACCUUGAGUUAUUUUAAUUGUAAGCGUGUUGCGAAUGUUAAAUUCACCAAUGAGAACUUUUCUAAUAUUAUUGUGAUAUCUGGGAAUCUGAUUGGUUCUGUUUGCGCUGACUAUUUGCCGAUA